rnacentral:siRNA from 1 species
UUGUGACUUCUACAUCCUUUCACC